UCUGUUUGGUAGCUUUCACCAAUUCACCUCAUUCACUGUAGCUAAUAACAGCAUAAAGAAUCUUAUUUGAGUAUCAGUGUGUGUUAUGCCUCUAGCGUUAGUACCUCUUUUUGUUCUUGUCCUAGACAUUAAUGAGAAUUAAGGAAAUAGACAAAAUGAUGCAAUAGCUGGAAGGGGCGUGGAUCGUAGCAAUUUAUUGGUUUGCUAAUUUUGUUUUAUAGUAUAAUCGUUUAUUUUGUACAUUUCUUUAAAUUAAGGUGGAAGUUUCUUGGAAAUUGAUUUUAUACUAAGCCUAUGAUUAAUGUAAACCAUCCUCUUAAUUAUGACUUCUAGUAUAUGAAGACCAUCUUACUGUAAUUCCUAUAUAGUUAUAGUUUAAGAAAACAAGCAAAAUUUAAAUUUCACUAAAAUAAAACGUAUAUUUAAUUAAAAAUUGAUUAAGACUCAUACAUAUGGAAAUCUUUCAUUACUAAAUCAACAAAAAUAAUAAUUCGAAAAGCAAUUGGUAGAAAUAUAAAGAUGGCUAUAAAUUUUUUUUUUUUGUGAGCAGUGAUGAAUAUAAAUUUAAGCUCAUAUUUUACUGUGUUUUUUUUUGUAACAAAAUGCAUUAUGUAAAGUUUGAAACCAAACAGUACCGCGGUGAUAGUGAUGCCUACCAAAAAACCAUCACAGAUAUCAUGGUUAUUUCAUUGUGAAUUUAAUAGUCUAUAAAGUUUUAUGAUAAUAUAUUAUGUUUGGUUGGACCGAUUUUUUAAAAACCCGUGAUUAGAGUGCUAAUCCAAUACCAAUAAUUUGAGAUUUUUAAAUUAAGAUAAACUAACGUUUUUCAUGUGAUCUUUUACAUACAUGCGCCAUGCAUGCCAACACCUACUUGUAUUAUCAUUAUCAUGUCUGGCUGCGCGACCAUUCAAACAUUAUCCACGUUGUGUGUACGUACGUGAGUGAGUAUAAUAGUAUAAUCUAAACAGAUUAUUGCUUUGACUACAGAAUAUGCGGCAUUACAACGGUGGUUAUAACUUUCUUAAAACUCUACUAUUAACUAUGCUAAACUAGGUUUCAUGGAUAACGAAGUUCUCACUAAUCCAUUUAAAGGGAGUAUCAUCUAACACACUGGUGAGUGGUGACUAAUAAUAAUCCUCCUUGUAGAGAAUCUCAAAACUAGACUAGACUUUGCUUAAAUGAGCUUUAUUAACAUAGAAAACAGAGAUAUUGAAAUAGCUUAUUAAAGAUUUAUUGUGCAAUGUAGAACAAGAAAGGUAAAGACUUUAGGUUGCCUUCAAAAACAAAAUAGAUAGAGAUUGUAUUUCAUAAAUAGAGAGGAGGGGCUGACUUUCACGUUAGCAAGGUUGAGUUAAACAUAAUGUCAUUACACAUAUUUAUACUUGCUAGAAACCCUAAAGACAUAAACUAAUGAACUUGAUUGUUUCUUUAGGCUUGGGCUCUUAGAGCAUGAUUAAUGGACGAUUCUUAGACCAUGAUUAACCCGGACUUUUAGGGUGGGGUUCUUAAUUUCAGUUAAGAACCGUUUCUUAGCUUUUAACUAAGAAAAGCUAAGAAGCGUCUCUUAAAUAAAAGAUAUAAGAGCCAGUUCUUAGCCAAAAAUGUAAAAAAUAAAUAAAAUAAAAAAUAAAAAAAUAUCAAAUCGUGAGUUAAGAACUCCAAAUUAAGAGUCCGGAUUAAUCAUGCUCUUAGGAUGAAGUUCUUAACGGAAUAUACAAAACUACAUCUUAACUUUUAACUAAAAAUGUUAAGAACCAGCUCUUAAAUAUUUGCAGUAUUGUAUGGGAGAAAUUUUGUUGGUUGGAGCAGGCUCAUGAGUUUGCUUAGUCGACUGUUUCUAAAGAGUAUUUACUCUUAACGAAUAUUUCAUUUGAAGAAUCCGUGACUGACUCUUGUAUUGGAUGUUGUAUUGUGUUGAACUUGAUAAAUAAUCUUGCGGUUCUUCUCGUCGGAUUUUCAGUCUUGAUUUGAUGGAUGAGAGAAGAGAUGGGUUAAAUCCGAGUAGAAGAAAGAUGAGACCUCUGCUGGAGAGUGAUAUCACACAUCGGGAAAUUGUGACUGGUGACGCUAACGAUAAAGGUAUCAGAUUUUUAUGCCAUUUCAACUGAGUUCCCUGAAUUCAGUAACAAGGAAAAAAUUCUAGUCUUCCAGUUCUCAGUCAAGCACGAGCAAAAGCUUGACUGUGGUGGUGGCUACAUGAAGCUGCUCAUCGGUCAUGUUGACAAGAAGAAGUUUGGUGGAGACACCCCACACAUGUGGAUUUCCGAUCUCAUCUCGUUUUCUAAGUCACCAUAAUCAUCUCAACAUUAUGAUCAACAGACAACUAUAUUUGAAAAACAAAUCGUUAUUUUUUUUACUCUUUUUCAAUAUAAUUUUUUUUUAAGAAUCUUUAAUUGAAUUCUACCAUUGGAGCAUUCAAAAUCAUUGUCUCUUAACAAAAAUUCUUAACUUAAAUUUAUUAAUUAUAUAUAUUCAUUAAGAAUCCAUUUAGGGGUUCUCCAUUGAACAUGUUUUAAGAGCAUCUCCAAUGUAAAACUCCAUUUUUUCCUCCAAAAUAGAGUAAAUUUCAUUAUGGAAUAAGAUAUGGAAUUGGGUUGGAACAUUCCUUACUCCAUAUUCACUUUUACUUCAUUUUAGAAGAAAAAAUGGAGUAAGGAUGGAGAUGCCAUAAGAAUUCCAUUAAUCAUGUUCUUAUACUCCUAUCAAUCAAAUUAAAUUAAGUUCCAUAAAUAGCAAGACCACGUCGGUACUUUUUCCCGUCUCUAUUGUUUCGUCAUUUAAAUUUAUGAAAUCAAACCUUAACAAUACAAUUAGGUUGAAUAGUUGAUAUUGGCAGUAUUAUUGACUUUCAUAACACGUGACUCUAUAAUCAUCAGUGAUGUCAUGGAUUCAUAGUCGUCAUUAAUAUCACAACUAUAUUUUCUUUUCCAAAAAGAAAUCGGAAUCAAAGCUUCUAGAUAUCUUAAAAAGAAACUUAAGGUCACCUGACAACCAUUAAUGAAACAGAAUUAAAUGGUCACAUACACAUAUCUACCUAUAAGGCAUGUUCAGACUUUAAUGUAGUAAAAAGAGAAAGAUAUGGAUGGAAUGGGUGAGAAUUUUUUUUUGAUAAUGAAAACAAAAUAUGUUUUGGAUGAAAUGAAAAAUAUCUUAUUUAUAUGAUUCUCAUCACUAUGUACCGCAGCAUAACAUCCAAAUUCAUUUCAUCAUGGAGUUUGUUUUUGUGCUAAGGUUUAACUUUGCUUAAACCUCAUUCUUUAUUCAUUUUUCUUCUAAAAUCUGAAAGCUAUUAUUUUAAUCUUGAAAAUAAGCACUAAUUUAAAUUAAAGAAAAAAAUCAUCUUAGCAAAGGCUGAAAAAAAGCAUUCACUUGAAAGAAAAAAAAAACUUUCCGAUCCAUUCCAUUAUUCCAUAGAACAAAACA